rnacentral:rRNA from 1 species
AUCNGGCUACCAUGCAAGUCGAGGGGCAGCAUUUCAGUUUGCUUGCAAACUGGAGAUGGCGACCGGCGCUCGGGUGAGUAACACGUAUCCAACCUGCCGAUAACUCGGGGAUAGCCUUUCGAAAGAAAGAUUAAUACCCGAUGGNAUAAUCAGACCGCAUGGUCUNAUUAUUAAAGAAUUUCGGUUAUCGAUGGGGAUGCGUUCCAUUAGGCAGUUGGUGAGGUAACGGCUCACCAAACCUUCGAUGGAUAGGGGUUCUGAGAGGAAGGUCCCCCACAUUGGAACUGAGACACGGUCCAAACUCCUACGGGAGGCAGCAGUGAGGAAUAUUGGUCAAUGGGCGCAGGCCUGAACCAGCCAAGUAGCGUGAAGGAUGACUGCCCUAUGGGUUGUAAACUUCUUUUAUAUGGGAAUAAAGUUUUCCACGUGUGGAAUUUUGUAUGUACCAUAUGAAUAAGGAUCGGCUAACUCCGUGCCAGCAGCCGCGGUAAUACGGAGGAUCCGAGCGUUAUCCGGAUUUAUUGGGUUUAAAGGGAGCGUAGGUGGACAGUUAAGUCAGUUGUGAAAGUUUGCGGCUCAACCGUAAAAAUUGCAGUUGAUACUGGCUGUCUUGAGUACAGUAGAGGUGGGCGGAAUUCGUGGUGUAGCGGUGAAAUGCUUAGAUAUCACGAAGAACUCCGAUUGCGAAGGCAGCUCACUGGACUGCAACUGACACUGAUGCUCGAAAGUGUGGGUAUCAAACAGGAUUAGAUACCCUGGUAGUCCACACAGUAAACGAUGAAUACUCGCUGUUUGCGAUAUACAGUAAGCGGCCAAGCGAAAGCAUUAAGUAUUCCACCUGGGGAGUACGCCGGCAACGGUGAAACUCAAAGGAAUUGACGGGGGCCCGCACAAGCGGAGGAACAUGUGGUUUAAUUCGAUGAUACGCGAGGAACCUUACCCGGGCUUAAAUUGCAUUUGAAUANUNUGGAAACAGNUUAGCCGCAAGGCAAAUGUGAAGGUGCUGCAUGGUUGUCGUCAGCUCGUGCCGUGAGGUGUCGGCUUAAGUGCCAUAACGAGCGCAACCCUUAUCUUUAGUUACUAACAGGUCAUGCUGAGGACUCUAGAGAGACUGCCGUCGUAAGAUGUGAGGAAGGUGGGGAUGACGUCAAAUCAGCACGGCCCUUACGUCCGGGGCUACACACGUGUUACAAUGGGGGGUACAGAAGGCAGCUACCUGGUGACAGGAUGCUAAUCCCAAAAGCCUCUCUCAGUUCGGAUCGAAGUCUGCAACCCGACUUCGUGAAGCUGGAUUCGCUAGUAAUCGCGCAUCAGCCAUGGCGCGGUGAAUACGUUCCCGGGCCUUGUANACAGGCGCCCGUCAAGCCAUGAAAGCCGGGGGUACCUGAAGUACGAACCGCAAGGAGCUCCAGUAA